GAUGAACGCUGGCGGCGUGCCUAAUACAUGCAAGUCGAGCGAACAGACGAGGAGCUUGCUCCUCUGACGUUAGCGGCGGACGGGUGAGUAACACGUGGAUAACCUACCUAUAAGACUGGGAUAACUUCGGGAAACCGGAGCUAAUACCGGAUAAUAUAUUGAACCGCAUGGUUCAAUAGUGAAAGACGGUUUUUCUGUCACUUAUAGAUGGAUCCGCGCCGCAUUAGCUAGUUGGUAAGGUAACGGCUUACCAAGGCGACGAUGCGUAGCCGACCUGAGAGAACGCAGGGCCACACGGCAACAUGACCAGGGUCAGUGCUCCUAGGGAGGGCAGCGGAAGGAAUUGUCCAGGGAGGGGCAAAGGCCUGAGAGCGCGCCGCGGAGUGAGAAGAAGAGUUGUUCGAAACUUAAGCCUUUGUUAUAAGGGAAAGAGAAGUAGGUUAUAAAGUAGACGCGUCAUGACGGUGACUAAUCGAAGCUCCCGGGCUAACUACGCG
rnacentral:rRNA from 1 species